UACGGGAGGCAGCAGUGGGGAAUAUUGCACAAUGGGCGCAAGCCUGAUGCAGCCAUGCCGCGUGUAUGAAGAAGGCCUUCGGGUUGUAAAGUACUUUCAGCAGUGAGGAAGGUGGAUAUGUUAAUAGCAUAUUCAUUUGACGUUAGCUGCAGAAGAAGCACCGGCUAACUCCGUGCCAGCAGCCGCGGUAAUACGGAGGGUGCGAGCGUUAAUCGGAAUUACUGGGCGUAAAGCGCAUGCAGGUGGUUUGUUAAGUCAGAUGUGAAAGCCCGGGGCUCAACCUCGGAAUUGCAUUGAAACUGGCAAACUAGAGUACUGUAGAGGGGGUAGAAUUUCAGGUGUAGCGGUGAAAUGCGUAGAGAUCUGAAGGAAUACCGGUGGCGAAGGCGGCCCCCUGGACAGAUACUGACACUCAGAUGCGAAAGCGUGGGGAGCAAACAGGAUUAGAUACCCUGGUAG
rnacentral:rRNA from 1 species